ACUGUAGUCCUCAACACUAUCACUGGUCUAGUCCACAACACUAUCACUGGUCUAGUCCUCAACACCAUCACUGGUCUAUUCCUAAACACUAUCACUGGUCUAGUCCUCAACACUAUCACUGGUCUAGUCCUCAACACCAUCACUGGUCUAUUCCUCAACACUAUCACUGGUCUAGUCCUCAACACUAUCACUGGUCUAGUCCUCAACACCAUCACUGGUCUAGUCCUCAACACCAUCACUGGUCUAGUCCUCAACACCAUCACUGGUCUAGUCCUCAACACUAUCACUGGUCUAGUCCUCAACACCAUCACUGGUCUAGUCCUCAACACUAUCACUGGUCUAGUCCUCAACACUAUCACUGGUCUAGUCCUCAACACUAUCACUGGUCUAUUCCUCAACACUAUCACUGGUCUAGUCCUCAACACUAUCACUGGUCUAGUCCUCAACACCAUCACUGGUCUAGUCCUCAACACCAUCACUGGUCUAGUCCUCAACACCAUCACUGGUCUAGUCCUCAACACUAUCACUGGUCUAGUCCUCAACACUAUCACUGGUCUAGUCCUCAACACUAUCACUGGUCUAUUCCUCAACACCAUCACUGGUCUAGUCCUCAACACUAUCACUGGUGUAGUCCUCAACACUAUCACUGGUGUAGUCCUCAACACUAUCACUGGUCUAGUCCACAACACUAUCACUGGUGUAGUCCUCAACACCAUCACUGGUCUAUUCCUCAACACUAUCACUGGUCUAUUCCUCAACACCAUCACUGGUCUAGUCCUCAACACUAUCACUGGUGUAGUCCUCAACACUAUCACUGGUGUAGUCCUCAACACUAUCACUGGUCUAGUCCUGAACACCAUCACUGGUCUAGUCCUCAACACCAUCACUGGUCUAGUCCUCAACACUAUCACUGGUCUAUUCCUCAACACCAUCACUGGUCUAGUCCUCAACACUAUCACUGGUGUAGUCCUCAACACUAUCACUGGUGUAGUCCUCAACACUAUCACUGGUCUAGUCCUCAACACUAUCACUGGUGUAGUCCUCAACACUAUCACUGGUGUAGUCCUCAACACUAUCACUGGUCUAGUCCUCAACACUAUCACUGGUCUAUUCCUCAACACCAUCACUGGUCUAGUCCUCAACACCAUCACUGGCCUAGUCCUCAACACCAUCACUGGUCUAUUCCUCAACACUAUCACUGGUCUAUUCCUCAACACUAUCACUGGUCUAGUCCUCAACACCAUCACUGGUCUAGUCCUCAACACUAUCACUGGUCUAGUCCUCAACACUAUCACUGGUCUAUUCCUGAACACUAUCACUUUGUCUAGUCCUCAACACUAUCACUGGUCUAGUACUGAACACUAUAACACUGUGUCUAGUCCUCAACACUAUCACUGGUCUAGUCCCUAA
ensembl:lncRNA